GAUGAACGCUGACAGAAUGCUUAACACAUGCAAGUCGAUUCGAUUUACCUUCGGGUAUUGAGGAUGGCGGACGGGUGAGUAACGCGUAAGGAACUUGCCUCUUGGUCUGGGACAACUGUUGGAAACGACAGCUAAUACCGGAUAUUAUGAGAUUCUCGCAUGGGAAACUUAUGAAAGCUAUAUGCGCCAAGAGAGAGCCUUGCGUUCCAUUAGCUAGUUGGUGGGGUAACGGCCCACCAAGGCGACGAUGGAUAGCCGGCCUGAGAGGGUGAACGGCCACAAGGGGACUGGGACACGGCCCUUACUCCUACGGGAGGCAGCAGUGGGGAAUAUUGGACAAUGGGCCACAAGCCUGAUCCAGCAAUUCUGUGUGCACGAUGAAGGUCUUCGGAUUGUAAAGUGCUUUCAGUUGGGAAGAAGAAAGUGACGGUACCAACAGAAGAAGCGACGGCUAAAUACGUGCCAGCAGCCGCGGUAAUACGUAUGUCGCAAGCGUUAUCCGGAUUUAUUGGGCGUAAAGCGCGUCUAGGCGGAAAAAUAAGUCUGANGUUAAA
rnacentral:rRNA from 1 species